AUUGAACGCUGGCGGCAGGCCUAACACAUGCAAGUCGAACGAGUGGCGGACGGGUGAGUAAUGUAUGGGAAACUGCCUGAUGGAGGGGGAUAACUACUGGAAACGGUAGCUAAUACCGCAUACCAUCGGAUGUGCCCAGAUGGGAUUAGCUAGUAGGUGGGGUAACGGCUCACCUAGGCGACGAUCCCUAGCUGGUCUGAGAGGAUGACCAGCCACACUGGAACUGAGACACGGUCCAGACUCCUACGGGAGGCAGCAGUGGGGAAUUUUGCACAAUGGGCGCAAGCCUGAUCCAGCCAUGCCGCGUGUAUGAAGAAGGCCUUCGGGUUGUAAAGCACUUUCGGCAGGGAGGCGGUACCCGCAGAAGAAGCACCGGCUAACUCCGUGCCAGCAGCCGCGGUAAUAC
rnacentral:rRNA from 1 species